CAAAAGACUCCCGCUGCCAUCUCAGGGCUCCUUAGCGCCAAAAAUGAACCUGCAGCAGCCACAGGUCAAGGCAUGCAGGGAGCGACCAAUCCACUCUAAACAGCCGGAGACCAGCGGAUUCUGGCUCCACCAAGCGGCGACGGGAGGAAGGUGAAGCUCCGAAGGUGGCCUGCUGUCCUGCUCUCUGUCACCAGGUCCCGUUGGGGGCUGGUCGGGUUCCUCUGCCGGGUCCCUCUCUCCUCUGGCUGUGAACUGGUCUGCACUUGCUUCCAAAGUGCUCCAGGCUCUGGGACAGGGUCUGUUUGGCAAGAAGACAAAGGGCAGGCGCCGACAAGUACUGGAAAGCAGUUCGUAAUUGAAAUCGCCGCGAUGGCCUGAGGACUCUCCCAGUACCGGGUAGAAAGGAAGCGGCCACGGCCCAGAAUCUGCCGGGCUCCCGCCAGGAGGCUGCAGCUCUGGCUCCAACUCUGCGCAAUCCCAAGCCUCCUUCUUGGGCUGGAGAAAAUGCUGCUCCAUCGCAAUUGACCUCUCGGACCAGCAGCAGGACACGAGCCUUUGCUCUGAUGGAGGAGGCAAAGCCUUCAGGAGGGCCAUGAGCCUUGGUAUUUAUGCACCGUGGGCGGAGGCAAGUCAGACAUCAAAAAAAUCGUGGUAGGAAAUAUGAGAAAAAUCAAUAGACUGAAUGGAAUACGAAUAAAUCGUACUGAGCACGACGAGCUGAAAUAAAUCGUUCUGAUGGGAAAAAAAAAUCGUAACCAGAGCUACAUUAAGUCGAAAGGAAACAGAAGAAUCGAAAGCAGGUCGGACUGAAUAAAACACGACAUGAACUGACUAUACGUCAAUUAAAAGGAAUGCAAAAACCGCAACAAACCCUACAGAGCACAGCGAACCGAAAUAAACAGUUCUGAUGAAAAAAUCGUAACCAGAGCUACACAAGCCGAAAACAAAUGGAAAAGCCAAAAGCAAAUCAGACGGAAUAAAAUACGACAUAAACUCACUAUACUUAAAUAAAAAAAGAAACAGAGAAACCGAAAGCAAACCCGACCAAACAGAACAGUGACAAGCCCUACAAGGGCACGGCCAACGGACGGUAAUAGAUCGUCCCGAUGAAAAACCGUAGCCAGAGGAAAACAGCCGAAAGGAAACGGAGAUGCCGAAAGGAAACCGGACACAAUGGAGUUCAGACAAAUCCUAGACAGCACAGCGAACCAGAAUAAGUCAUUCUGAUGAAAAAACAUAGCCAUGAAAACAACCGAAAGGGAACAACGAUAAGCAAACCCGACAGAGAAGGAGCCCUGCAAAACGCAGGGAGCUGUCGGCGCCCCUGCAGAGACCAGAAGCCACCGCUCUGGGCAAAAGGAGCGGUGCCGCCUCUGGCCGCUGGGGCUCCGCGCUGCUGGCCGCCUCGCGGACGAGAAACCGCAGACACGAUUGGCACUGGCAGCAGCCGACAGUGGUGCUGUGGCCCAAGACAAAUUACCCGUUAGAGAGCGAUCCGCUGUGCAGACAAAGAGAAACUGCCGGCUUUCAGAAAGGAGCAGCCUGAGACCCCGAAAACGCCCUGCGUGGAGGAAUGACCGGUGCCGCCUUAGAGCAAAACACCGUCUCAGUACAGGCAACUAGUCCCAGCCCAGUAAGAAGACUGAAGAGAUGGAAUCCCAUGCAUCCACCCUGGAAGAGCUGUCUUGGAGGUGGGCACAUCCAGAGCCCCACAUGCCACGAGGCCUGAACCCAGAACCAGGCCUGGGCCUGGGUUCUGGAACUUCCCUGCGCUGAGCUGCCCCUCCUGCCAAUGACCCCAGUCUUACGGGGACGGGCACUAUGGUACAUGUGGGAGGCCGCUUCGUGCUUGCACCGAGCAUGCAGAUGGUUCCCAAGUUGAGAGCAGCCAAAAACGCUGUCAAGACACACAAGCCCAGGAGCCAAUGGCUCAUCCGGGAUGGAGCAACAGUCCCACCAAGAAGAGGCCAAAGCUACAGACCGCGUAGCUCAACAGGGCCUGAACCAGUGAGGAGAUGCCAGCAGCAGCGGAGGUGGACAGACAAGCGGCCAGAUUGCCUCCCAGGAUCCCAAGACAGCCCCACCCACUCCCAUCCCCACCCCCUGAGACUGCUGAAAAAUGAGGCUUGAAACCCAGGAACUCCGCAAAGUAAGGAAGGAUGGCAGCCUUAUGCCCUGCCUCACGGCGACCCUUCAACCCAUGCCCUGGACUGGAGUCACGGAGUCACCCCAGUGGAGGCCCUCAUUCUGCCUGUCUGGACUUCUCCCCUGGCCCCAGCCUUGCUCGGGGAUGAGCCUCAGGGUCUUUGUAGUGCAGAACAUCCUUAUUGUCCUUUCAUUCCUGAAUUAUUGACAGGUUUUUCAAUAAGAAAUGUCUUUUCAGGGAAUCAAUACUAUCUUAAGGAAGUUUCUUGUACAUGUACUCAGAAUAUUCGUGCUUUUUAUGUUAAUUCCAAUUGUGCACAAUGAUUAAAGCCUGUUUCCUUA